rnacentral:rRNA from 1 species
UACAGAGGUCCCGAGCGUUGUUCGGAUUCACUGGGCGUAAAGGGUGCGUAGGUGGCAUGUUAAGUUUGAUGUGAAAGCUCAGGGCUCAACCCUGAAAUGGCAUUGAAUACUAGCGUGCUGGAGGUUUUGGAGGGGGGAGCUGGAAUUCGUCGGUGUAGCUAGUGAAAUGACGUAGAUAUGCGGAGGAACACCGAUGGCGAAGGCAGUCCCCUGGACCUGUACUCGACGCUCAUGCACGAAAGCGUGGGGAGCAAACAGG